rnacentral:tRNA from 1 species
GGGCCCUUAGCUCAGCUGGUCAGAGCAUCUGACUCAUAAUCAGAGGGUCGCAGGUUCAAGCCCUGCAGGGCCCA